rnacentral:rRNA from 1 species
UCCAGAGGUGGCAAUCGUUGUUCGGAAUUACUGGGCGUAAAGGGCGCGUAGGCGGCCUGUUAAGUCCCGUGUGAAAUCCCUCGGCUCAACCGAGGAACUGCACGGGAAACUGGCGGGCUUGAGUUCGGGAGAGGGAAGCGGAAUUCCGGGUGUAGCGGUGAAAUGCGUAGAUAUCCGGAGGAACACCGGUGGCGAAGGCGGCUUCCUGGACCGACACUGACGCUGAGGCGCGAAAGCUAGGGGAGAAAACGGG